UGCGUAACACGUGUGCAACCUACCUUUAUCAGGGGAAUAGCCUUUCGAAAGGAAGAUUAAUACCCCAUAAUAUAUUGAAUGGCAUCAUUUAAUAUUGAAAACUCCGGUGGAUAGAGAUGGGCACGCGCAAGAUUAGAUAGUUGGUGAGGUAACGGCUCACCAAGUCAAUGAUCUUUAGGGGUCCUGAGAGGGAGAUCCCCCACACUUGGUACUGAGACACGGACCAGACUCCUACGGGAGGCAGCAGUGAGGAAUAUUGGACAAUGGGUGAGAGCCUGAUCCAGCCAUCCCGCGUGAAGGAUGACGGUCCUAUGGAUUGUAAACUUCUUUUGUAUAGGGAUAAACCUACUCUCGUGAGAGUAGCUGAAGGUACUAUACGAAUAAGCACCGGCUAACUCCGUGCCAGCAGCCGCGGUAAUACGGAGGGUGCAAGCGUUAUCCGGAUUUAUUGGGUUUAAAGGGUCCGUAGGCGGACCGAUAAGUCAGUGGUGAAAUCUCAUAGCUUAACUAUGAAACUGCCGUUGAUACUGUCGGUCUUGAGUAAAUUUGAAGUGGCUGGAAUAAGUAGUGUAGCGGUGAAAUGCAUAGAUAUUACUUAGAACACCAAUUGCGAAGGCAGGUCACUAAGAUUUAACUGACGCUGAGGGACGAAAGCGUGGGGAGCGAACAGGAUUAGAUACCCUGGUAGUCCACGCCGUAAACGAUGCUAACUCGUUUUUGGGGCGCAAGCUUCAGAGACCAAGCGAAAGUGAUAAGUUAGCCACCUGGGGAGUACGUCCGCAAGGAUGAAACUCAAAGGAAUUGACGGGGGCCCGCACAAGCGGUGGAUUAUGUGGUUUAAUUCGAUGAUACGCGAGGAACCUUACCAAGACUUAAAUGGGAAAUGACAGGCUUAGAAAUAGGCUUUUCUUCGGACAUUUUCCAAGGUGCUGCAUGGUUGUCGUCAGCUCGUGCCGUGAGGUGUUAGGUUAAGUCCUGCAACGAGCGCAACCCCUGUCACUAGUUGCUAACAUUUAGUUGAGGACUCUAGUGAGACUGCCUACGCAAGUAGAGAGGAAGGUGGGGAUGACGUCAAAUCAUCACGGCCCUUACGUCUUGGGCCACACACGUAAUACAAUGGCCGGUACAGAGGGCAGCUACCUAGCGAUAGGAUGCAAAUCUCGAAAGCCGGUCUCAGUUCGGAUUGGAGUCUGCAACUCGACUCUAUGAAG
rnacentral:rRNA from 1 species